AACAACACGUGGGUGUGGUGACAAGCGUGCAAGCGCCACUUUGUGUAUCAUCAAGCCAACGCGAAAGAAAUCAGUCUCUGGGGAAUCGCUGGCACACCUACGUGAUAUGGAAUCAAGCCCCUUAUUGUCAUAAUAUCUGCUCUUUGAACAUUGAUGAAGGUCCAAGAAAGACGGUCAGAUUGUGGAAUCAAAGAGGGCCAGCAGUCUACAACCUUUAGAAGAGGAGUUUUAAAAAAAGGGCUUUUUUUGGAAAGUGGAUAGAAGCAGAGAUGAUAGCAAUAGUGGAAGAAACAUGAGAAGUCUGUCUUCUGCAGUGACUGUACACAUUGAUGCUGGAUUCCACCUGUGCACAUAAAAUGCAGCCGUGUAAUGAACAUACAUCUCGUUCAGGCACUUGUUGGCAAGUGGAUAGAAGCAGAGGUGGCAAUGAGAGUGGAAGGAAUAUGUGCUGUCUGUCAAGGAGAAGUCUACCUUUUGCAGUGACUAGUACAAGAUGUCCCAUAGGUCUACCUUGAUGGAGUUGAUCCAAUUCACCUCUCCAACAACCACCCUUCCCUUUUGUGACCACCAGGAUGUUAACCUCUGUGACAUCAAGGAGCUCCAUCCAAACACUGAUGCCUGACUGUAGUGUGACAUGACUCGUCUACCUCUCUGCCUGCAGUAGUAGUAAAUGUCCUGAUGCUGACACCAUACGGCACCUGUUGGAAUCACAACACAUCACUGAAAUGCACUCUGCAAGUUGAGGGUAACAGCUAAGUGCUGCAGUUUCAGUGGUCUGCCAUCUUGAAGAAUCAGUUUUGUGGAUGAAGAUGUGUGGGCAAAAAGCAUCAGCAAGGCCGAAGUGGUUCCUGUCUGCUCUGUUAUCAGCCUGGGCAUCCCUUGACAAACCUAGGCAGCACAAACCAGAUGCUAUAAUGCUCAAAGAUUAGAUUUGCAGAAAAAAAGUGUAUAGAUAAUCUUCUGAUGGUAAACAUGGUUUAAGACUUUUUGUCUUGUUUGGAACAGUUUAGGCUUUUUGGAACAGAGAAUAUGAGUACAUGUAGAUGUUUUAGUUGAAAAUGCACAUUUUCUUUUUACACAACAAACCCAUAUUUUUAGAACUGCUUCUCAGGGUGUACUUUUGUCUGUAGAGAAAGAAAUUAAGCAUGUUUUAAGUUCCUUUUACUAAAUGUCUCAUCCGAGUAAAUAAAAAUUACAAAGCAUUAGACAAAUUGUUCACUCAAGUUGAGACAUUUCAAAAUGUCCAUUAUACAUACUGUUCAUGUUUGCACAAAGUAAUCACUAUUACCCCUUUAAUUAACUGAUGUUGUACCAUUUUACUGCUUUUCAUUCUUUUCCUGCAUUUUCAAGAUUUUAUGCAUAAUUUUCGUCAGAUUGUAGGAACUUCUUGUUCAAAAUAAGGAGGUACCUGUAAUGCUCAUCAUGUUCCUAGAACAUAUAUAUACCAAGAUAGACACGCAGGUGUACAACUAAACUUUCUUAUAUAUGCCCAAAAAAGUAAAAAAUUCGGACGCCCUGAAAUUUCAGUUGAAUUUUUUGUGACAAACAUAACUUACAUGUACAUAUGGAUAUUUUGAAGAGAAUAGAAAGGCUUGCAAAUAUAUUGUGGACCUACAAGUUACGUUUA